AGUGGGGGUGUUGUGAAAUGAUGUAUAUGUGGAUUGCCUAGCCCUUUCCAUCAGUUCGGACUUUUGGUUCAAGUGGCUAGUGCAUGAAGCUUAACAAUUUCAUGCUGAGAAGACCUGUUGCUGCAAUGAAAAUGUUCCAUGAGAUAAUUCAAAGUGGGUAGGAGUGAGCAUUUCGACAUGCAAAGUAAUUCUUUGACGACUUUGUUGGAAACUUGGAAUACUUAUGCUGAAAAAGGAAUUCCCAUGUUCGAGAAAUUAGGUGCAAUUAAGCUUAAUAUUGCAAUACUCAUUAUCAUGAUUAAUGUGUAUGGUUUGGUGAAGAGAAGAAUCGCAUAAUGUGUUUGCUGUCAUCCAGUAUUUUUUUCCUGUGGGGAAUAUCAUACAGUGGGUUGGAACUUGGUACAUAAUGUUUCUGCUUAUCAUGUAGUGAUAAGAAAUCUUCUAAAUGAAUGAUUUUUUGAAGAAUGGGAUAAUCUGUUGUCCUCAAUGGAUGAGAGUAAUUGUGCUCCUGGCUCUCGUGUGUCAAAUAAUAUCAUCGAAUGUUAUUGGAAAAGGUUGAAGUUGUGAUUUGUGAAGGUUGGAAUGUCUAAAGUUGAUGGGAAGAGUUUAUCACUUGAAGAUUUAACUACUUCGUUGCUGAUGUCUCUCCUUUCAAGGGAACACAGAUAUUGGGCGCACAUAAAAUUGCUACUGCAGAAUAGGGAUUUUAUGGUGGAGUCGGGUACAAUGCUUAUGAGCUUGACUCCUCAGAAUGUACAGGAUGGGCAGAAACGAUUUGCAUCUGGGACAAUACUAGACAUAAACUAGCGCAAUUGAGUCAGAUAGUAGAUUUCUGAAGACUCCUCCGACUAAUGCAGUAAUUUCCUACUUCUGUAGAGUACUUCUGUUUGGAUAAUGCCUGAGUUGUGCAAGACUUGGCUUGCUUGGAGUAUUUUUAUUUGUAAUACCAUCACGAAAGGGUGUAUUGCUGCAAGCCCAUAUAUAAAUGGUCGUUCAAGGGUUCCCUGAACAUGUUACAUAUCGUUUCCAGAAUAGAUGAUGGGCUCUGCUAGAAGGUCUUAUGCUUCGAACUCACAGAGGAUUGAUCUGUUGUGUUGGAGGUCUACAUGGAUGCUGCCUCUAUAGUCUAUACUCUAGGUACAUGUUUUAGCUGCAGAAAAUCCGCUAAGAUUUAUGUUGCAAGAAAGAUGUUUGGAGGGGCUUGAGGAUCAGCAUAAUUGAGCUGGAAAUAGCAUGCUCGUAAUAACUAAGCAUAAUGUAGAUCUAAAUAAUUAUCAUCAUUUAUUUGCUUUGCUUCAGAGAAGAA